rnacentral:rRNA from 1 species
AAUCAACGCUGGCGGCGUGCCUCAGACAUGCAAGUCGAACGCGAAAGUUUCCUUCGGGAAGCGAGUAGAGUGGCGCACGGGUGAGUAACACGUAAGUAAUCUACCUCGGGGUGGGGAAUAACAUCGGGAAACCGAUGCUAAUACCGCAUAAUGCAGCGGCUUCUUAUGAAGACAGUUGUUAAAGCAUUUAUGUGCCUGGAGAGGAGCUUGCGGCAGAUUAGCUAGUUGGUAAGGUAAUGGCUUACCAAGGCAACGAUCUGUAGCCGACCUGAGAGGGUGGUCGGUCACACUGACACUGAAUAACGGGUCAGACUCCUACGGGAGGCAGCAGUCGGGAAUUUUGGGCAAUGGGCGAAAGCCUGACCCAGCAACGCCGCGUGAAGGAUGAAGUAUUUCGGUAUGUAAACUUCGUAAAAUAGGAAGAAUAAAUGACGGUACUAUUUGUAAGGUCCGGCUAACUACGUGCCAGCAGCCGCAGU